GAAUCAUCAGUGAAAAGAGAGAAUGAACAGCUCAAAAACAGGACACCUGAGAGAAUGGAGCCAAUAUGACACUUGGAGGUGAAGAUGCUGACACUUGGGGAAAAUGAUGCUUCCAAACCCCCCACUUUGUAAGGAGAAGAAUCAUGGCUUGAACCCACAUGGCACCAGAUAGAAUGCAGCAUGAAGCUGGAUCCAAAUGGAAGGUCAGUUAGUUGCAGCUCAUCUGUCAGGCGAGCCAGAAAUAUUAAAUCAUUUUCCACCUGAAGAUGCAUCUGUCCCAGAGUUGAACAAGUGCCUAGAGCCAGAGGACUCUCAAGAUCUGGUUUUGAAGAAGCAGCUUUUUCUCCUUUUCCCUGUCUACUUUUGGAUGUGUCAAAUCUUCUUUAACCCAGGAAUGUCUUUCUCAAGAACCUGAGAGCCAUCCCCUUGAAAUGUCAUCAUCAGUACAGGUAGGAAUCCUGUCUCCCAGUCUCUGUAGGAGAGUAGGAGCCUAACUUCAAUAAGCCCUGGUUAGCAGAGAGAGUCUUUUCAAAUUGAACAGUCCCACACCUGCGUUUUGCA